AGGGUGUAAACGCUGCAGACUUGGUGUUGGAGGCCCUUUGGGGGCAUUCAGUGCCGGAGAGAAGUUGUUAAGUCUGCUACUUGGGGAGUACGUCCGCAAGGAUGAAACUUAAAGGAAUUGGCGGGGAGCACCGCAACGGGAGGAGCGUGCGGUUUAAUUGGAUUCAACACCGUAAAACUCACCAGGGAAGACUGUUACAUGAAGGCCGAGAUGAAGACUCUGCUAGAUUUUCAGAGAGGAGGUGCAUGGCGUCAGUGACU
rnacentral:rRNA from 1 species